rnacentral:rRNA from 1 species
UACGAAGGGGGCUAGCGUUGUUCGGAAUUACUGGGCGUAAAGCGUGCGCAGGCGGCUGCUCAAGUCAGGGGUGAAAGCCCAGAGCUCAACUCUGGAAUUGCCUUUGAGACUGAGUGGCUUGAGUACGGGAGAGGUGAGUGGAAUUCCCAGUGUAGAGGUGAAAUUCGUAGAUAUUGGGAAGAACACCGGUGGCGAAGGCGGCUCACUG